rnacentral:rRNA from 1 species
UGCGUAGGUGGUUUCGUAUGUCGGACGUGAAAGCCCACUGCUCAACGGUGGAACUGCGUUCGAAACUGCGGAACUGGAGUGCAGGAGGGGAGAGCGGAAUUCUUGGUGUAGCGGUGAAAUGCGUUGAUAUCAAGAAGAACACCGGUGGCGAAGGCGGCUCUCUGGAAUGUAACUGACACUGAGGCACGAAAGUUGGGGGAGCGAACA